CUCACAACAGUCGUUUUAAAUAACCGUCGCUUCGCGCUCCAUCUGUUUUGGCCUGUGCUUCUUUGGUGCAACUUCGUUGUGUAUUCAAGGCGAAGAAACAACAAGCACAACAUACACUGCUACUGCUCUACAGCCUGCAGACACCCCAUCAACUGGAACAUAUCCGCCCUGUCUGAAAUGGUGAGGUCGGAGUUAGUCAGCAGAAGGCCAUGUCAGGUGCCAGAGGAGCUGACUGCAGAAUACAUCUUGAUGUGAUUAGCUGUGUCCAGCUCUACAGGAGAGAACAGCUCCAGCUUCCAGCGAAGCUCUUGAGCUCCUGCUUUGCUCAGCCUUUUCUUUUUACUCACAACACCUGAACACUACUGAUGUGAAAUUGAUGUGUUAUCAUUAUAAUAACUCAACACAU